UGGUUCUGCCAUGGACAAGCUGAAGUCUCUCUGGGACCAGGGGACCCGCAUGGCCCAGCCACCCCACCCCACCAUCUCCCAGGCAUGUGAGAAAAUAUCACAUUCUCUGUGUUUUGGAGAUUUCUUCUAAAUGUAUUUUCCAACUAUCAUUUCAUAGCAAAUCAGCGAGAAAAAAGGUAUAAUAUUAGGCAGAAACCCAAUAUAAAAAGAAAAGCAGAGUUGUUGUAGAUUCAUCGAGGGCUGGCGACCUGGUUCCAAUGAGCCAUCUCCCCGUUCCGACAGGGGCUUCCUGGAGCUCCUGCAACCCCAGGCAUUAGUUCCAGUGCAGUUCUAGGAUCAGAUCAAUUCACUCGACAACAAGAGAAACAAAUGGAGAUUCCUACACAAAGACUUUCAAGCACAAAGAAAUCCUGCUGCCUGUAAAGUGGAGCUGCCUCAGCUCUUGAUGAACGACAGAAAAUACCACCUACUGCCAGACCUCAACGCCUCACAAAACUCUCACCCACCUACUGCUUUUAGCUCACAUUCCAGGAAUUCAGAUGAAGUGAAGUGCUCUCAUGGGGACCAGGCAUGGUUAUUCCAGUCCACUGCCCUGCAAGCCUCAAGGGAAGCCAACUGCCCUUCAGCAAGUCACACCUGCCUUGGUGG
rnacentral:lncRNA from 1 species